rnacentral:lncRNA from 1 species
UGGAGAAGAAGGCGAAGAGAGGAACAAGGGCGCGAGGGUCCUCAGAUCGGGGAUUUCCAGCGACGGCGAAGAAGGCGAAGAGAGGAACAAAGGCGCGGGGAUUCCAAAGAUGAAGCUUCCUCAGAUCUAAGGUUUCCAACGACGGUGAAGAUGGCGAAGAGAGGAACAAGGGCGCUGAGGUUCCAGAGAUGGAGAAGAAGGCGACGAAAGGAAGAAGGGAGAGGGGUUUCAGGCGAUG